rnacentral:rRNA from 1 species
CUUACACAUGCAAGUCGAACGGUAUCGCGGGGGUUACCCUGGCGACGAGUGGCGAACGGGUGAGUAAUACAUCGGAACAUAUCCUGUAUCGGGGGAUAACCUGUCAAAAGAUAGGCUAAUACCGCAUACGAUCUACGGAUGAAAGCGGGGGACCGCAAGGCCUCGCACUAUAGGAGUGGCCGAUGUCGGAUUAGCUAGUUGGAGAGGUAAAGGCUUACCAAGGCGACAAUCCGUAGCUGGUCUGAGAGGACGAUCACCCACACUGGAACUGAGACACGGUCCAGACUCCUACGGGAGGCAGCAGUGGGGAAUUUUGGACUAUGGGCGCAAGCCUGAUCCACCCAUGCCGCGUGAGUGAAUAAAGCCUUCGGAUUGUAAAGCUCUUUCGGCGGGGACGAAACGGUUCGCACUAAGCACUGCGGACUAAUGACGGUACCCGCAUAAGAAGCACCGGCUAACUACUUGCCAGCAGCCGCGGUAAUACGUACGGUGCAGGCGUUAAUCAGAAUUAGUGGGCGUAAAGCGUUCGCAGGCAGUCUGUUUAGACAGGUGUGAGAUCGACGAGCUCGUCUUGGGAGUGACGCUUGUAAUGACAUGGCUAGAGUGUGGCAGAGGUGGGUGUAAUUACACGUGUAGCAGUGAAAUGAGCAGAUAUGUGGAGGAACACCGAUGGCGAAGGCAGCCCCAUGGGUUAACACUGACGCUCAGGCACGAAAGCGUGGUGAGCAAACAGGAUUAGAUACCGUGGUAGUACACGCCUUAAAUUAUGUCAACUAGUUGUCGGGGAAGAACUUCCUUGGUAACGAAGCUAACGCGUGAAGUUGACCGCAUGGGGAGUACGGCCGCAAGGUUAAAACUCAAAGGAAUUGACGGGGACCCGCACAAGCGGUGGAUUAUGUGGAUUAAUUAGAUGCAACGCGAAAAACCUUACCUACCCUUGACAUGCCAAGAACCUCGCAGAGAUGUGAGGGUGCCCGAAAGGGAACCUGGACACAGGUGUUGCAUGGCUGUCGUCAGCUCGUGUCGUGAGAUGUUGGGUUAAGUCCCGCAACGAGCGCAACCCUUGCCAUUAGUUGCGACAUUUAGUUGAGCACUCUAAUGGGACCGCCGGUGACAAACCGGAGGAAGGUGGGGAUGACGUCAAGUCAUCAUGGCCAUUAUGGGUAGGGCUUCACACGUAAUACAAUGGUCGGUACAGAGGGCUGCCAACCCGCGAGGGGGAGCUAAUCCCAGAAAGCCGAUCGUAGUCCGGAUUGUAGUCUGCAACUCGAGUGCAUGAAGCCGGAAUCGCUAGUAAUCGCGGAUCAGCAUGUCGCGGUGAAUACGUUCCCGGGUCUUGUACACACCGCCCGUCACACCAUGGGAGUGGGUUCCACCAGAAGUAGUUAGCCUAACCGCAAGGAGGCCGAUUACCACGGUGAGAUUCAUGACUGGGGUGAA